rnacentral:lncRNA from 1 species
UUUUUUAAAAAACAUUUAGACUGUUUGGGAUACAGUCUGAAUUUUAAUAAUGUAGAUAUUGUUUAUCUGAUUUUUUUUAAUAAUAUAGAUAUUGUUUAUCUGAUUUUUUUUUUAAAAAAAUAUAGAUAUUUUUUAUUAUUAUUAUUUUUAUUUAUUUUUUGUUUGGCAACAAGUUUGGAGUCAUGUUUUUUUAAAAAAGUUUAGUCUGUUUGGGAUACAGUCUGAAUUUUAAUAAUAUAGAUAUUGUUUAUCUGAUUUUUUUUAAUAAUAUAGAUAUUGUUUAUCUGAUUUUUAAUAAUAAUAUAAAUCCAUCCCUUUUAAUAAUAUAGAUAUUGUUUAUCUGAUUUUUUUUUUCUUUUUGAAAAUAUAUAAUAAUCUUAGUUACUUUUCAUAUAAACAUUUACGAUAUUCUAAUGAUAAAAUUUAAGGAAAAUUAUGAUAAUGGUCUAUAACGAAAUAAAAUAUUUUAAAGAAAAAAAAUUAGUCUAAAAAUAAAUUAAUAAAAAUAUAAUAAUAUUUUUGAGAAAAUAGCAAAAAUCAACUUAGACUAUUUGCUGAUGGUAUUUUAACCCAAACUACGAUACCCG